rnacentral:misc_RNA from 1 species
CGCAGGACUCUACGGCCGUAUCUUCAGCAUAUUCAUGCCGUCUCAGAUGAUAUCGAACAGCGAAGAAGUGAAUUGAAAUUGUUUAUCAAUAAUGGGCCGUCGGAAAAUCCUAUAAGCGGACGGUGGAGAUCUGUUCCGUUUACUCAUCAUUCUACUUUGGACACCAUAGCCAUGGACGCAGACCUCAAGAACAAGGUAAAAUCGGAUCUUGAAAAUUUUGUUAAAUCCCAAAACUACUAUCACAAAAUGGGCCGUGCCUG